CCUCUAUAUAAAAAGUAUAGUACAGUAUUGUAACAGGAAAUACAAUUUGCUUUAGCAUAUAAUGAUAUAUUCUUACGCUCGAUAACAUUCUUUGAAUGCAGUUCUAAGUUCAAAGUUUGAUUGAUGAUAUCAUGGCUGCAUGUGUAUAAUAUGAUGGAUUGCAGAAUGUUGCAAAUAGACAAUAUUAAAUAUAGGAGACAAGAAACAGCCUACUCUAGUAAGGCAAUAAUAGCAGACUGAUCAUGGAUUUUUGUAGAUGGACAUUUCAUAGAACUAACUGAGAGCAUGUUUCGCUCGCUGAUCUGGUUUAAAUAAAUUAUUACAAAGUCCAGUUGAAUUGUAAUCAAGACCCAACGUUUUGACACUCCAGUCUAGUGUCUUCAUCAGGGGUGAUCUAAAGUUGCAACUGUCACUUCUUAAAUACCCAAGGGAUGACGUCACCUGCCAAUGAGAUGCAUGUAAUAUUAAGGUUGCCUUAAAACCGUAUUUGACUUUAGGCCAUAUUUUCGCAAAGCCAAAAGAUCCUGUUAAAACAAAUCAGAAAACUCAUGCUGUAUAUUCUAUACCAUGCGGUGACUGCGAAAAAGAGUAUUUGGGUCAGUCUAAACACCAGUUUGGUACAUGGCUAAAAGAACAUCAAAAGGCUGUUUCAACUUUAAAACAAGGGAAAAUCAGCUUUAUCAGAACAUGUGUGUGACACCAAACACGAUAUUGUGUCGGAAAAAUCUAAAGUAAUUAUCACAAACAAUCGCUAUCAUGGUCAAAGACUAUGCCUAGAAGCAUGGCAUAUAAAUAUGAGUAAUUAUGCUGUGAAUAGAGAUGACGGUGCCUAUUUGCCAGAGGAAUACAUGCAUCUCAUUGGCAGGUGAUGUCUCCUUUGGGUAUUUAAGAAGCCACAAUUACAACUUUAGAUCACCCCUAAAGAAGACACUAGACUGGAGUGUCUAAACGCUGGGUCUUGAUUACAAUUCCACCGGGCUUUGUAAUUAUUUAUUUAAUCCAGAGUAGCAAGCGAAACAUGAUUGAUAUACCUGGUUGCAGUGAACAAACACACUUCAAUAACUCAGAGAGCAAUUGCAAGUCUGCCAACAUAAACUGAACCUACAGCCCUGAAAUUCUACUGCUGCCCUCUGACUUAAAGUGUCUGUUUGCCAAGAGGUCACCACAAGUUGCUGUACAUACUGUAUAUAAACCAUGGUCAGGUGUCAGUGGUAGUAUAUUAAGUUAACUGGUAUCAGUAUUAUAUACAUAAACUCCUGG